UCCCAUUCCGAACUCAGAAGUGAAACGAAAUAGCGCCGAUGGUAGUGUGGGGUCUCCCCAUGUGAGAGUAGGACAUCGCCAGGC
rnacentral:rRNA from 1 species